rnacentral:snRNA from 1 species
GGAUGUGAGGGUGAUGUGGCUGUGACAUCACCAGGGUUGAUUUGGCUGACCUGGCUGGCUAGGCGGUGUCCCCUUCCUCCCUCACUGCUUCAUGUGCAUCCCUCCCCAAACUGGGUGCUCAUAUGAAAAGGACGGCCUUCUCCAAAUACAGGAGGACCGGUCUUUGGUCAAGGGUAAAAGAGUAGCUGUGCUUCCCUGCUAGAACCUCCAAACAAGCUCUCAAAAAACAAAUAAGUUAUGGUGUGAGUUGGAUAUGGGAGCUAGGGCUUAGAGUUACUUGCUUAAGUGUAGGCUUGGGUUGUUUU